ACAGAGGUCUCAAGCGUUAAUCGGAAUCGCUGGGCGUAAAGCGCGCGUAGGCGGCCAUUUAAGUCAGGGGUGAAAUCCCACCGCUCACCGGUGGAACUGCCUUUGAGACUGGGUAGCUUGAGUGUGUGAGAGGAUAGUGGAAUUCCUGGUGUAGGAGUGAAAUCCGUAGAGAUCAGGAGGAACAUCAGUGGCGAAGGCGACUAUCUGGCACAAUACUGACGCUGAGGUGCGAAAGCGUGGGUAUCAAACAG
rnacentral:rRNA from 1 species